rnacentral:rRNA from 1 species
CAAGAGUGAAACUCAAAGGAAUUGACGGGGACCCGCACAAGUAGCGGAGCAUGUGGUUUAAUUCGAAGCAACGCGAAGAACCUUACCUAAGCUUGACAUCCCAAUGACAUCUCCUUAAUCGGAGAGUUCCCUUCGGGGACAUUGGUGACAGGUGGUGCAUGGUUGUCGUCAGCUCGUGUCGUGAGAUGUUGGGUUAAGUCCCGCA